rnacentral:tRNA from 1 species
GCUGAUGUGGCUCAGUGGUAGAGCACUUCCUUGGUAAGGAAGAGGUCGGCGGUUCAAUUCCGCUCAUCAGCUCCA